AUUGAACGCUGGCGGCAUGCUUUACACAUGCAAGUCGAACGGCAGCACGGGAGCUUGCUCCUGGUGGCGAGUGGCGAACGGGUGAGUAAUACAUAGGAACGUAUCCUGUAGUGGGGGAUAACGCAGCGAAAGCUGUGCUAAUACCGCAUACGAUCUACGGAAGAAAGCGGGGGACCUGCAAGGGCCUCGCGCUAUUGGAGCGGCCUAUGUCUGAUUAGCUAGUUGGUGAGGUAAAGGCUCACCAAGGCGACGAUCAGUAGCUGGUCUGAGAGGAUGAUCAGCCACACUGGAACUGAGACACGGUCCAGACUCCUACGGGAGGCAGCAGUGGGGAAUUUUGGACAAUGGGGCAACCCUGAUCCAGCCAUGCCGCGUGAGUGAAGAAGGCCUUCGGUUG
rnacentral:rRNA from 1 species